CUACGGGAGGCAGCAGUCGAGAAUCUUCCGCAAUGGGCGCAAGCCUGACGGAGCAAUGCCGCGUGAGGGAUGACGGCCCUAGGGUUGUAAACCUCUGUCAGAAGGGACGAAGAACGUGACGGUACCUUCAGAGGAAGCCAUGGCUAACUACGUGCCAGCAGCCGCGGUAAUACGUAGAUGGCGAGCGUUAUUCGGAUUUACUGGGCGUAAAGGGUCCGUAGGGGGUCUGCCAAGUCUGAUGUGAAAUCCUGCGGCUCAACCGCGGAACUGCAUUGGAAACUGGCGGACUAGAGUGUGCGAGGGGUGAGCGGAAUUCCUGGUGUAGCGGUGGAAUGCGUAGAUAUCAGGAAGAACACCGAUGGCGAAGGCGGCUCACUGGCGCAUCACUGACCCUGAGGGACGAAAGCGUGGGUAGCAAACAGGAUUAGAUACCCCGGUAGUC
rnacentral:rRNA from 1 species